rnacentral:tRNA from 1 species
UCCCUGGAGGACUAGUGGUUAGGCCACGGUGCUCUCAUCUCUGCGGCCUGGGUUCGAUUUCCGGCCAGGGAA